GUGAACGCUGGCGGUAGGCCUAACACAUGCAAGUCGAACGGCAGCACAGUAAGAGCUUGCUCUUACGGGUGGCGAGUGGCGGACGGGUGAGGAAUACAUCGGAAUCUACUUUUUCGUGGGGGAUAACGUAGGGAAACUUACGCUAAUACCGCAUACGACCUACGGGUGAAAGCAGGGGAUCUUCGCACCUUGCGCGAUUGAAUGAGCCGAUGUCGGAUUAGCUAGUUGGCGGGGUAAAGGCCCACCAAGGCGACGAUCCGUAGCUGGUCUGAGAGGAUGAUCGGCCACACUGGAACUGAGACACGGUCCAGACUCCUACGGGAGGCAGCAGUGGGGAAUAUUGGACAAUGGGCGCAAGCCUGAUCCAGCCAUACCGCGUGGGUGAAGAAGGCCUUCGGGUUGUAAAGCCCUUUUGUUGGGAAAGAAAAGCAGCAGGUUAAUACCCCGCUGUUCUGACGGUACCCAAAGAAUAAGCACCGGCUAACUUCGUG
rnacentral:rRNA from 1 species